rnacentral:lncRNA from 1 species
GGGUGCUGUGUAUGCUAGCACUUGUGGUUUGGAGAGAAGGAAGCUUUGGACUCAAGUACACUUAGUGCUUUCUCUUAAUCAGCCCUUGUUAUUAAUUGGAGAUUUCGAUUGUAUCUUGAAUUCAAAUGAUAAAAAGGGGACAAAGCCUUUCAAAUUGACAGGGAUAUAAAAGAAUUUUGAAACUUUAUCCAAUGCACCGAUCUUAUUG